rnacentral:tRNA from 1 species
GCUAAGAUGACUGAUGUAUAGGUGAUAAAUUGUAAAUUUAUUUAAAAAUAAUAUUUUCUUUGCA